CCAUGGGAGGGGAGAGGUCCAGAGACUAUUAGUCGAUGCCAACACAGCUUUCUGGUGAGGUCACAAGUCCUCUCUUUGUCUAUUUUGUGAUCUCUGA